ACCAAAGCCAAACUUAGGACUUGCUUAACCACUCAACAAUUUUACUGUGAAAGGAUGCAAAAUUAUGAAAGCGGGGAUCACCCAAACCAUGCACCUUUCAGAUUGGAGGUCUUAAAUGGAUGAAUGUAAUUGAAACGAGUUUUCAUAUUGAGCCUGAAAAAAAGGGAAGAAUGGAUGACUGCUGUUGAUUAUGCUGCUGAACAGCUUCAUACAGAUCCUGAUUGCAAUGAUUUGGAUAUGCCAGCCGUUUCUGAAAAAACACCAGGAACCAUGCUUCCAAUCCUUAAGAAAUGGAAAAACAGCUAACAGCUAAGCUCUCGCUUUUCACAGGAAAAAAGCUGGAUUUAUCUGAUAAGAAAACAAAAAUCAAACUAAACGGAAGUUAAAUGAAAUGAAGAAAAAAUUAUAAAGCAAAAAGAAGAAGAGGAGGUCCUGAAUUGCCAAACUUGCAUGAGCAACCAAGGUAGCAUCUGUGUCACCAACCUCUGUUCUUUCAGAGUUUGUCUAAACAGAAAUUUCUGAACCAAGACUAGCAAGUACAUUGCCAACACCAAUUUUCAACAGUGAAGGCUGCCCAGUUUUCAGCAAAUUUGAUUUUGGAGAACUAUUUAAUCCCUCACCCAUUCUGAAAAAGACCACUUUAGAUCCAUAAUUGGCAACGAUUAAAAUGAAAAAAAAAAAUACUUAAACAAAAAGUGAAAAUCUUGGUAGGCCAAGCUGAAGGUGAGAAUCUAGAAGCAUGGAAGAAAAACAGGCUUGCAAUGGUGCUCUACACAUAGCUGAAGGUUUUCAGGUAGAAGACUGUGUGGAAUUCCUUGGCAAAUAAAUAAAGAAACGAGGUAAAAUCAAAUCAGAAAAUAAAAUAAAUUGGGCUGAUCGCAACGAAGAAAAGGAAAAGAGAAAGGAAUGACAACAGAAAAAGAGAAAGGAAUGACAACAGAAAAAGAGAAAAGCGAACAUUAAGAAAAAGAAACUGAAAAAAAAGAACAUACAGUGAUUAAACCAAAUCAAAAAAAGGAACAUUUAUCGUAUGAAAUAAUGAUACCGACUCAUAGAUGAGCUAAACUCGUUUUCUUUCA